AUACUUAGCUAGAAGAGGAGAUACCAGGAUCACAAAGGUUGUUUUCCCAGGGUGAGGCUUAUCUACCACAUCCAGAACAUCUGGAUAUUCUUGCCCCUACAAUUUGCCCAAAUUCAGGAAACUCAACUGCAUAUUUGGUGAUAUUGGGGAACUGUAUUCAUGCUCUCCUGU
ensembl:snRNA LOC120100223 U1 spliceosomal RNA